AGACGCGCGCGUGAUUUUCAAGAUGGCGGCGCCGCGAUACGCGAGGAGGUGGGCGAGCAGGUGUGUUAUAUACUAGGCGGGCAGGUGUAGUAUAUACUAGGCGAGCAGGUGUAGUAUAUACUAGGCGAGCAGGUGUAGUAUAUACUAGGCGAGCAGGUGUAGUAUAUACUAGGCGAGCAGGUGUGUUAUAUGAUUGGCGGGCAGGUGUAGUAUAUGAUUGGCGACCAGGUGUGUUAUAUACUAGGCGGGCAGGUGUGUUCGGUAUCCAUAUGCAAACGCAGUGGAAGCGUCGUUAUCAGAGCGGUGACAAUGAUAAACGUCGCGUUGCGAACGUGUGACAAUACCGCUGUUUGCGCGGGAGCUGAUUACAUGCGUUCGUACGCUUCACACGACGUUUCCACCGAUCAUCGGAAUUUGCUUUAGCGCUGGCCAGCAAAUUGCGUUCGCUAGCGGAAGGCGCCGUCGAGAAAUGCUUGCGUGGACUGUUCUGGCAAUGCCGCUUGUUUUCAAUAAUGCAUGUUAGCAAUACGUGAAAUGUAGAGGCAACAUUUAGAGGAGCAAGUGGUGCCUAAAUUCCCGUUACGACGGCACAAAGUGUCACGAACGAAUGCCGAAAAAACGCGCAGUUUCAGUUCUGAAUGCACAAUUUCACUCGAGUUUUUCGGUCAGCCUCGUGAAAUGUACAAAGUUGAAAUGUACACAUGCAGUUUCGGUUUUGAAUGCACAAUUUCUCUAGAAUUUUCGGUCAUCCUCGUGAAAUGCACAAAUAUUCAAGUAUAUUCACGCGACUUUACACGAAUCAAACAAGAUUCGAUUAGCCAACAAAAUUAACAUUGUAAUUAACAUAGUUAAAAUUGGUAAUUAACAAAAUUACCAAGGAACACUGUAAUGUAUAGAUUUGCUUACACUAUUUAGCGCACUAGUAAGUCCCUAAAUGGUUGCUAUUUUGUAUACUAUAGUUGCUGGGGACAUUUACGUUGGUUAGCUAUAGCCUACUAUAGUAUUUCUUGUGUACAUCACACACGCGUAGCGUGUCAUACGUGAAGUCACCCGCAGCACACAAACAAUUAAUGAGGUCGCUAGAAUUUUUUAUUUAUAUUAGCAAUCACAUUAUCGCUGCCAUGCCAAAUUAUACUUCACGCUAAGCCAUGUGAUAGAUGCUACGUGCACGUAAAAUAUGUUUGGCCUAUAUUUCACAAGCAAAUUGCUAAUGUGAUAGUUACACGCACACUGUGAAUAUCACAAUAUAUAGAUAGAGAUAGUUAUUAUAUAUACGUAACUUUUAUGUAUGUUCGCUACAUAUCUAUCCGCCAUUUUGUAUACUGGUACGUACGUACGCGUAUAUGUGUAUUCGUAUAGAGUUUUCCAAAUGAUAAGGUUCUCAUGUUAUAAUUGUAUUUUCAGGGAAUUUUUCGUGUCUUCGUGUGUUUUAAGUUUUUAACUACCUCAGUAUUUAUGACAGUUCCGUUGUUUUUCACAAGUGUGCUCAUUAUAUUUUCCCCCACGUGCAUGCUCAAUGAUUUUUUGAGCUCGGUUGCCAAUUCAGCGUUAGUAAAAUAAGCCGACAAGUUUGCUUGCGUCUCUACUACCCCUAAACUGCUUCGUUAAAAGUCGUGCACACAAAGAAUAUUCAUGCAUUUAUUUCAACAUUUCUUAUAAAAGAGUUCAUCUCGAUCGUGAUGUACAUAUCGCUGUGUGUUUGGUGUGCGUAGCAUUAAUGUAGUGAGCAUUGAAACGAGCGUGUUACCGAAUGUAUAUGUAGUCCAAUCGACGUCUGUCUCAAUAUGUGCAAGUGAUCUUGGUUUGCUGAAACCCGAGAACGAUAUCUACAUGUAUAUAUUGUUCUCAGGCUGAAACGCGAGAGCCAUCGCAAUUUUCUUCUUACCCAGUUGCGCCACCUAUCGGAUUAAUUCAGCGUUUUGCUAUGGAGCUGCAGACAAGGCCGGAACAUGAAUUUUGAUGUACCUGCUUGUUGGGUAAUCGAUAGACGUUGUAGUCAAGAGCAAAUCAAAGAUCUACAUACGCGAAUGGGAACGUGAUAACGGAUAAUGGAUUACGUCGUAAUGCUGUUAGAGAUGAUAAACAGUAUUAUACGCGCAAUGCUGAAGUAGUAAAUCAUUAGUAGAAGAAUAUAGAAUUGCGUCGUUCUGGCGCCGAAUAUGACGGUUUGCAAUGAGAACCCUUGAGCACAUAUAUCUGUAUAUAUUACUUAGUACUUGUGUAAAUAUUAGGUACGCUAUUAUUUUGCAUCGCGAUGUCGUUUUUUUUGCACAAUCCGCUUCCCUCCUGAUAUCAUUUGUUCGUAAUUUCGACGUGAGCAGUUGAAAUAAUUAAGUGUCUUUGGGAUGUAACUUCGCAGUGCUAUUAGUAUGCGCUUAGUCUAAAGUUAGUACAAAGUAGACAUUUUAAUUGGAGUGCGUGGUUACAUGUAUAAUCGUGUAUAUAAUCUCGUCGUUUUUUAUCUGUUGACGAAAUUUAUUUAGAUGGCCUAUAUCACGGAAA